rnacentral:rRNA from 2 species
GGGUUGUGAGGUUAAGCGACUAAGCGUACACGGUGGAUGCCCUGGCAGUCAGAGGCGAUGAAGGACGUGCUAAUCUGCGAAAAGCGCCGGCGAGGUGAUAUGAACCCUUGACCCGGCGAUGUCCGAAUGGGGAAACCCAGUGUGUUCCGACACACUAUCGUUAACUGAAUACAUAGGUUAACGAGGCGAACCGGGGGAACUGAAACAUCUAAGUACCCCGAGGAAAAGAAAUCAACCGAGAUUCCCCCAGUAGCGGCGAGCGAACGGGGAGCAGCCCGGAGUCUGAAUCAGCUUGUGUGUUAGUGGAACGGUCUGGAAAGUCCGACGGUACAGGGUGAUAGUCCCGUACACGAAAACACACUUGCUGUGAACUCGAAGAGUAGGGCGGGACACGUGGUAUCCUGUCUGAAUAUGGGGGGACCAUCCUCCAAGGCUAAAUACUCCUGACUGACCGAUAGUGAACCAGUACCGUGAGGGAAAGGCGAAAAGAACCCCGGCGAGGGGAGUGAAAAAGAACCUGAAACCGUGUACGUACAAGCAGUGGGAGCACCUUCGGGUGUGACUGCGUACCUUUUGUAUAAUGGGUCAGCGACUUAUAUUCUGUAGCAAGGUUAACCGUAUAGGGGAGCCGAAGGGAAACCGAGUCUUAACUGGGCGUUAAGUUGCAGGGUAUAGACCCGAAACCCGGUGAUCUAGCCAUGGGCAGGUUGAAGGUUGGGUAACACUAACUGGAGGACCGAACCGACUAAUGUUGAAAAAUUAGCGGAUGACCUGUGGCUGGGGGUGAAAGGCCAAUCAAACCGGGAGAUAGCUGGUUCUCCCCGAAAGCUAUUUAGGUAGCGCCUCGUGAACUCAUCUUCGGGGGUAGAGCACUGUUUCGGCUAGGGGGCCAUCCCGGCUUACCAACCCGAUGCAAACUACGAAUACCGAAGAAUGUUAUCACGGGAGACACACGGCGGGUGCUAACGUCCGUCGUGAAGAGGGAAACAACCCAGACCGCCAGCUAAGGUCCCAAAGUCAUGGUUAAGUGGGAAACGAUGUGGGAAGGCACAGACAGCCAGGAUGUUGGCUUAGAAGCAGCCAUCAUUUAAAGAAAGCGUAAUAGCUCACUGGUCGAGUCGGCCUGCGCGGAAGAUGUAACGGGGCUAAACCAUGCACCGAAGCUGCGGCAGCGACACUAUGUGUUGUUGGGUAGGGGAGCGUUCUGUAAGCCGUUGAAGGUGUGCUGUGAGGCAUGCUGGAGGUAUCAGAAGUGCGAAUGCUGACAUAAGUAACGAUAAAGCGGGUGAAAAGCCCGCUCGCCGGAAGACCAAGGGUUCCUGUCCAACGUUAAUCGGGGCAGGGUGAGUCGACCCCUAAGGCGAGGCCGAAAGGCGUAGUCGAUGGGAAACAGGUUAAUAUUCCUGUACUUGGUGUUACUGCGAAGGGGGGACGGAGAAGGCUAUGUCAGCCGGGCGACGGUUGUCCCGGUUUAAGCAUGUAGGCGGAGGUUCCAGGUAAAUCCGGUACCUUUUAACGCUGAGGUGUGAUGACGAGGCACUACGGUGCUGAAGUGAUAAAUGCCCUGCUUCCAGGAAAAGCCUCUAAGCAUCAGGUAACACGAAAUCGUACCCCAAACCGACACAGGUGGUCAGGUAGAGAAUACCAAGGCGCUUGAGAGAACUCGGGUGAAGGAACUAGGCAAAAUGGUGCCGUAACUUCGGGAGAAGGCACGCUGAUAUGUAGGUGAAGUCCCUGCGGACGGAGCUGAAAUCAGUCGAAGAUACCAGCUGGCUGCAACUGUUUAUUAAAAACACAGCACUGUGCAAACACGAAAGUGGACGUAUACGGUGUGACGCCUGCCCGGUGCCGGAAGGUUAAUUGAUGGGGUUAGCGGCAACGCGAAGCUCUUGAUCGAAGCCCCGGUAAACGGCGGCCGUAACUAUAACGGUCCUAAGGUAGCGAAAUUCCUUGUCGGGUAAGUUCCGACCUGCACGAAUGGCGUAAUGAUGGCCAGGCUGUCUCCACCCGAGACUCAGUGAAAUUGAACUCGCUGUGAAGAUGCAGUGUACCCGCGGCAAGACGGAAAGACCCCGUGAACCUUUACUAUAGCUUGACACUGAACACUGGUCCUUGAUGUGUAGGAUAGGUGGGAGGCUUUGAAGCGUGGACGCCAGUCUGCGUGGAGCCAUCCUUGAAAUACCACCCUUUAAUGGCUGGUGUUCUAACGUAGACCCGUAAUCCGGGUUGCGGACAGUGUCUGGUGGGUAGUUUGACUGGGGCGGUCUCCUCCCAAAGAGUAACGGAGGAGCACGAAGGUUGGCUAAUCCUGGUCGGACAUCAGGAGGUUAGUGCAAUGGCAUAAGCCAGCUUGACUGCGAGCGUGACGGCGCGAGCAGGUGCGAAAGCAGGUCAUAGUGAUCCGGUGGUUCUGAAUGGAAGGGCCAUCGCUCAACGGAUAAAAGGUACUCCGGGGAUAACAGGCUGAUACCGCCCAAGAGUUCAUAUCGACGGCGGUGUUUGGCACCUCGAUGUCGGCUCAUCACAUCCUGGGGCUGAAGUAGGUCCCAAGGGUAUGGCUGUUCGCCAUUUAAAGUGGUACGCGAGCUGGGUUUAGAACGUCGUGAGACAGUUCGGUCCCUAUCUGCCGUGGGCGCUGGAGAAUUGAGGGGGGCUGCUCCUAGUACGAGAGGACCGGAGUGGACGCAUCACUGGUGUUCGGGUUGUCAUGCCAAUGGCACUGCCCGGUAGCUAAAUGCGGAAGAGAUAAGUGCUGAAAGCAUCUAAGCACGAAACUUGCCCCGAGAUGAGUUCUCCCUGAGACUUUAAGUCUCCUGAAGGAACGUUGAAGACGACGACGUUGAUAGGUCGGGUGUGUAAGCGCAGCGAUGCGUUGAGCUAACCGAUACUAAUGAACCGUGAGGCUUAACCUUACAACGCCGAAGGUGUUU